GACGACGAUGCGUAGGGGUUCUGAGAGGAAGGUCCCCCACACUGGUACUGAGACACGGACCAGACUCCUACGGGAGGCAGCAGUGAGGAAUAUUGGUCAAUGGGCGGGAGCCUGAACCAGCCAAGUCGCGUGAGGGAUGACGGCCCUAUGGGUUGUAAACCUCUUUUGCCGGGGAGCAAAGUGCCGCACGUGUGCGGUUUGGAGAGUACCCGGAGAAAAAGCAUCGGCUAACUCCGUGCCAGCAGCCGCGGUAAUACGGAGGAUGCGAGCGUUAUCCGGAUUUAUUGGGUUUAAAGGGUGCGUAGGCGGACGCUUAAGUCAGCGGUAAAAUUGCGGGGCUCAACCUCGUCGAGCCGUUGAAACUGGGUGCCUUGAGUGGGCGAGAAGUACGCGGAAUGCGUGGUGUAGCGGUGAAAUGCAUAGAUAUCACGCAGAACUCCGAUUGCGAAGGCAGCGUACCGGCGCCCAACUGACGCUGAAGCACGAAGGCGUGGGUAUCGAACAGGAUUAGAUACCCUGGUAGUCCACGCAGUAAACGAUGAAUGCUAGUUGUCCGGGGCGAUUGAG
rnacentral:rRNA from 1 species